rnacentral:rRNA from 1 species
GGGAUGAACGCUGGCGGCGUGCUUAACACAUGCAAGUCGAACGAUGAACUGGAGCUUGCUCCGGGGAUUAGUGGCGAACGGGUGAGUAACACGUGAGUAACCUGCCCUUGACUCUGGGAUAAGCACUGGAAACGGUGUCUAAUACCGGAUAUGACCUUCAGCCGCAUGGCUAGGGGGUGGAAAGAUUUUUUGGCAAGGAUGGACUCGCGGCCUAUCAGGUAGUUGGUGAGGUAAUGGCUCACCAAGCCGACGACGGGUA